GCAGGCGACCAUAGCACGUUGAAAGCACCGGUUCUCGUACGAUCACCACAGUUAAGCAACGUUGGGCUUCUCUCUACGUGAUAUGCUCUAAAAAAUACAUUAGAUAGUAGUCUAUA
rnacentral:rRNA from 1 species